rnacentral:misc_RNA from 1 species
UUUCCGUAGGUGAACCAGCGGAAGGACCAUUAUCGAGUUUUGACUGGAUAGUAGCCGGCCUUCCGAGGACUGUGCUCGCCCUGCUCAUCCACUCUACACCUGUGCACUUACUGAGGGUACCAGAUCGUGAUGUGUGCACUUUUCCCGGAGCUUGAGGAGCGUCUCUGUGACGGCGUUUAUCACAAACAUCAUAAAGUAUCAGAAUGUGAAUUACGAAGUAACGCAUAUAUAUACAACUUUCAGCAACGGAUCCCUUGGCUCUCGCAUCGAUGACGAAUC